rnacentral:tRNA from 1 species
GGCCCCGUAGUGUAGCGGUAAACACCCUGGACUUUGAAUCCAAAAAGACGGGUUAUAAUCUCGCGAGACCU